rnacentral:rRNA from 1 species
CGGCAACAGCUCAAAUUUGAAAUCUGGCCCUCUCAGGGUCCGAGUUGUAAUUUGUAGAGGAUGCUUCUGGGCAGCGGCCGGUCUAAGUUCCUUGGAACAGGACGUCAUAGAGGGUGAGAAUCCCGUAUGUGACCGGCUAGUACCCUCCACGUAGCUCCUUCGAC